rnacentral:tRNA from 1 species
GGGAGUGUGCCCGAGUGGACAAAGGGAGCAGACUGUAAAUCUGCCGGCGUUAUGCCUACGGUGGUUCGAAUCCACCCGCUCCCA